rnacentral:rRNA from 1 species
CAGCCGCCGCGGGAAUACGUAGGUGGCAAGCGUUGUCCGGAAUUAUUGGGCGUAAAGGGCUCGCAGGCGGUUUCUUAAGUCUGAUGUGAAAGCCCCCGGCUCAACCGGGGAGGGUCAUUGGAAACUGGGAAACCUGAGUGCAGAAGAGGAGAGUGGAAUUCCACGUGUAGCGGUGAAAUGCGUAGAGAUGUGGAGGAACACCAGUGGCGAAGGCGACUCUCUGGUCUGUAACUGACGCUGAGGAGCGAAAGCGUGGGGAGCGAACAGGAUUAGAUACCCCCGUAGUCCCUGUCUCUUAUAC